UACCAGCACCCCGAGUGGUCGGGACGAUUAUUGGGCCUAAAGCAUCCGUAGCCGGCCUUACAAGUCCUCCGUUAAAUCCAGCUGCUCAACAGAUGGGCCGCGGAGGAUACUACAGGGCUAGGAGGCGGGAGAGGCAAGCGGUACUCAGUGGGUAGGGGUAAAAUCCUCUGAUCCACUGAAGACCACCAGUGGCGAAGGCGGCUUGCCAGAACGCGCUCGACGGUGAGGGAUGAAAGCUGGGGGAGCAAACCGG
rnacentral:rRNA from 1 species